CCUACGGGAGGCAGCAGUAGGGAAUUUUCGGCAAUGGGGGGAACCCUGACCGAGCAACGCCGCGUGAACGAAGAAGUUAUUCGUAAUGUAAAGUUCUUUUAACAGGGAAGAAAGAGAAAUUUGACGGUACCUGAAGAAUAAGCUCCGGCUAACUACGUGCCAGCAGCCGCGGUAAUACGUAGGGAGCGAGCGUUAUCGGGAAUUAUUGGCCGUAAAGGGUGCGUAGAUGGCAUAGUAAGUCUGUUGUAAAAAUGCUGGGCUCAACCCAGUAGGGCAAAAGAUACUGCAAAGCUAGAGUAUGACAGAGGCAAGUGGAACUAGAUGUGUAGCGGUAAAAUGCGUAGAUAUAUGUAAGAACACCAGUGGCGAAGGCGGCUUGCUGGGUCGAUACUGACAUUGAGGCACGAAAGCGUGGGGAGCAAACAGGAUUAGAUACCCGGGUAGUC
rnacentral:rRNA from 1 species